rnacentral:lncRNA from 1 species
GCAGCACCUCGACGCCGGACGUCGCCUGCUGUUUUCGUCGGAGCUGGGCCGGUCAGCAGCUACAAGCAUCACUCGCACCGCGCACGGCCUACAGUGUUCCCUCGUCGGCGUAGCCUUGUGGCCCUGCACCGGGAUACCGAGGUCCGCUUUCGAGAUUGCGGACCACGAGUCGGAAGGAUAUCCAGUGUGCUGCUCCAUGUUUGCCAUCCUCCCAACGUCCCCCACCGGAGAUGGCCUUGAGCACCUCUUACCGUGGCUGACCGCGUUGGCUCCUUUGCAUUUCCGCGUCCACGUCGUCCUUCUGCUACGGCGCACUUCGUUUGCUAC